rnacentral:rRNA from 1 species
AACGAACGCUGGCGGCGUGGAUAAGACAUGCAAGUCGAACGAGAUUACUUCUGGUAGCAAUACCGGGAGGAAUUUAGUGGCGAACGGGUGCGUAACACGUGGGCAAUCUGCCUUAAAGUGGGGGAUAGCUCGGCGAAAGCCGAAUUAAUACCGCAUAUGAUCAGCCAGGACAUCCUGGCGAAAUCAAAGAUGGCGCAAGCUAUCGCUUUUAGAGGAGCCCGCGGCCUAUCAGCUAGUUGGUGGGGUAACGGCCCACCAAGGCGACGACGGGUAGCUGGUCUGAGAGGAUGGCCAGCCACAUUGGGACUGAGACACGGCCCAGACUCCUACGGGAGGCAGCAGUGGGGAAUAUUGCGCAAUGGGCGAAAGCCUGACGCAGCGACGCCGCGUGUGGGAUGACGGUCUUCGGAUUGUAAACCACUGUCGGGAGGGACGAAUACGCCGCAAGGGCGGGUGACGGUACCUCCAAAGGAAGCACCGGCUAACUCCGU